rnacentral:rRNA from 1 species
GACAGAGGGUGCAAACGUUGUUCGGAAUUACUGGGCGUGAAGCGCGUGUAGGCUGCUUCGCAAGUCGGGUGUGAAAGCCCUGGGCUCAACCUAGGAAGUGCACUCGAAACUGCGAAGCUCGAGUCCUGGAGAGGAAGGCGGAAUUCUCGGUGUAGAGGUGAAAUUCGUAGAUAUCGAGAGGAACACCGGUGGCGAAGGCGGCCUUCUGGACAGUGACUGACGCUGAGACGCGAAAGCGUGGGGAGCAAACAGG